UACGUAGGUGGCAAGCGUUGUCCGGAGUUAUUGGGCGUAAAGCGCGCGCAGGCGGUUGGAUAAGUCCAUGGUGAAAGCGCCUGGCUCAACUAGGCGAGUGCCGUGGGGACUGUUCAGCUGGAGUGGAGCAGAGGCGAGUGGAAUUCCGGGUGUAGUGGUGAAAUGCGUAGAGAUCCGGAGGAACACCAGAGGCGAAGGCGGCUCGCUGGGCUUUGACUGACGCUGAGGCCGCGAAAGCGUGGGGGAGCGAACCGG
rnacentral:rRNA from 1 species